rnacentral:piRNA from 1 species
GGAAGGAGCACAAGUAAUUCAUGAUCCUGC